UACGGGGGGGGGCAAGCGUUGUUCGGAAUUACUGGGCGUAAAGGGCUCGUAGGCGGCCAACUAAGUCAGACGUGAAAUCCCUCGGCUUAACCGGGGAACUGCGUCUGAUACUGGAUGGCUUGAGUUCGGGAGAGGGAUGCGGAAUUCCAGGUGUAGCGGUGAAAUGCGUAGAUAUCGAGAGGAACACCAGUGGCGAAGGCGAGUCUCUGGGCCGUAACUGACGCUGAGGAGCGAAAGCAUGGGGAGCGAACAGG
rnacentral:rRNA from 1 species